rnacentral:rRNA from 1 species
UUGGAGGGCAAGUCUGGUGCCAGCAGCCGCGGUAAUUCCAGCUCCAAUAGCGUAUAUUAAAGUUGUUGCAGUUAAAAAGCUCGUAGUUGAAUUUCGGGGUCAGUAGGUCGGUCGUGCCACUGGUAUGAACUGGUUUUACUGAUUCCUCCCUCUUGAAGAACUGUAAUGCCAUUAAUUUGGUGUUGCAGGGAAUCAGGACUGUUACUUUGAAAAAAUUAGAGUGUUUAAAGCAGGCUUUAGCUUGAAUACAUUAGCAUGGAAUAAUGAAAUAGGACGUUUGAUCCUAUUUUGUUGGUUUCUAGGAUUGACGUAAUGAUUAAUAGGGAUAGUUGGGGCAUUAGUAUUCAAUUGUCAGAGGUGAAAUUCUUGGAUUUAUUGAAGACUAACUACUGCGAAAGCAUUUGCCAAGGAUGUUUUCAUUAAUCAAGAACGAAAGUUAGGGGAUCGAAGACGAUCAGAUACCGUCGUAGUCUUAACCAUAAACUAUGCCGACUAGGGAUCGGAUGAUGUUAAUUUUUUAAUGACUCAUUCGGCGCCUUACGGGAAAC